UUUUAUGCAAGAAAAAAAAAACUGAAUUUAAAUAUUUUGCUAAAAUGCAGUUUCGCCUUAGUGAUUUCUUGGAAAUAAAACCGGAAGCUAUCAACAAAGAUAUACAUAGAGUAGGGGAUUUUUUUCAUUACGUAUUCAGCUUUCACUUUCACGGUAGAAAACAAGACCGAGCUUAGAACUUGGUUUACUGCAGAACACGACAACGAUUACUUAAAGUCUUGAGAGGGCGAGAAAGAAAGAAGACAUCAAAUAAUCAGUAUUAUGGCAAGUGAGGAGAUUAGCACAGAUGAGGUGUACCUGGGACUUCCUGAAGAUCACGUUGAGGACGUAAAAGAUUGCAAUCCACAAGAGGCAUCUGCAGCGAGAAAUGAUCAUAUAGAAAGCUCGAAGCCAAGUCUUGAAAACCUUGACUUUGAGGGAAAAGUACGGAAACUCCAGGAACACUUCAAAAACAUCCCUCGUUAUCAAAUACGAAAAGUAUUAGGGAGACCCGAUGUUCGUAAUAAUGCGAGUUUGGCUUGGAGUUGUCUUGAAGACUUGGGCAGUGACGUAAGAAAGAACUCAAAUGAUGCAAAUGAAGGGUACGGUGCGAAAA